UAUCUCUGUAGAGUCUGCAUAUCAAUAAGCGGAGGAAAAGAAACUAACUAGGAUUCCCUCAGUAACGGCGAGUGAAGCGGGAAGAGCUCAAAUUUGAAAUCUUCAAGGUUUUACCUUGACGAAUUGUAGUUUAAAGAAGUGUUUUCUGUUGGAGUUUUGGUAAAAGUUCUUUGGAAUAGGACAUCAUAGAGGGUGAGAAUCCCGUAUUUGACCAUUAUUUCCAGCUUUGUGAUACACUUUCAAAGAGUCGGAUUGUUUGGGAAUGCAGUCCAAAAUGGGUGGUAAAUUUCAUCUAAAGCUAAAUACUUGGCGAGAGACCGAUAGCGAACAAGUACCGUGAGGGAAAGAUGAAAAGAACUUUGAAAAGAGAGUUAAACAGUACGUGAAAUUGUCAAAAGGGAAGCGUUUGACACCAGUGUUGUUUUCUACGAAAAUCAAUUUACUGAUGCUAGCUUACUUAUCCUUGUUUUUUCUUGUCUUUGUGAAUGCACUUUUCGUGGAACAAGUCAACAUCAAUUUCUUUUGCUGUAAAAGGGUAAGAGGAAGGUGGCUUCGGCUUCGGUUGAAGUGUUUAUAGCCUUUUAUCUCUGCAGUCGGAGAGAUUGAGGUCUGCAGCGUAGACUCUUCGGGGUUAGAUACGUCGGUGCUAAGCUAUAGCUUUUCAUAGACAACUUGUUGACUAUGUUUAGUCAUGUGGCUUACCCGCUGGCGCUAUUUUACCUACGCUUAGGAUGUUGAGUCAUCACACAUCUCU
rnacentral:rRNA from 1 species